UACGGGGGGGGCAAGCGUUGUUCGGAAUUACUGGGCGUAAAGGGCUCGUAGGCGGCCAACUAAGUCGGAUGUGAAAUCCCCAGGCUUAACCUGGGAACUGCAUCCGAUACUGGAUGGCUUGAAUCCGGGAGAGGGAUGCGGAAUUCCAGGUGUAGCGGUGAAAUGCGUAGAUAUCUGGAGGAACACCGGUGGCGAAGGCGGCAUCCUGGACCGGCAUUGACGCUGAGGAGCGAAAGCCAGGGGAGCAAAAGGG
rnacentral:rRNA from 1 species